rnacentral:rRNA from 1 species
UACGUAGGGUCCGAGCGUUGUCCGGAAUUAUUGGGCGUAAAGAGCUCGUAGGCGGUCUGUCGCGUCGAAUGUGAAAACCCGGGGCUCAACCCCGGGCCUGCAUUCGAUACGGGCAGACUAGAGUUCGGUAGGGGAGUCUGGAAUUCCUGGUGUAGCGGUGAAAUGCGCAGAUAUCAGGAGGAACACCGGUGGCGAAGGCGGGACUCUGGGCCGAUACUGACGCUGAGGCGCGAAAGCCAGGGGAGCAAACGGG